UACGUAGGGUGCGAGCGUUGUCCGGAAUUAUUGGGCGUAAAGAGCUUGUAGGCGGUUUGUCGCGUCUGCUGUGAAAAUCCGGGGCUCAACCCCGGACUUGCAGUGGGUACGGGCAGACUGGAGUGUGGUAGGGGAGACUGGAAUUCCUGGUGUAGCGGUGGAAUGCGCAGAUAUCAGGAGGAACACCGAUGGCGAAGGCAGCUCGCUGGGACGGUACUGACGCUGAGGCGCGAAAGCGUGGGGAGCGAACAGG
rnacentral:rRNA from 1 species